UUCAAGAAACACGAAAUUGUAUAAUAAAAACAGCAAAAAUCUACAUGAAAAAUUGGAUGUUAUAUACAAUAUACUGCAAGUAUCAGUCAAGAACUCAAGCUCUAACUAUGAAACAUGCCUCACACCAAACUAAAUACAAAUACAAUUACACUGCCAAUCUGACACAAGUGGAUGGUUCUUUGCAAUCAAUCGUCUUCAUUACCUCCAUAUUGUUGGCAUAAUGAUUGUAAUCCACUGCUUGCAAUGGAUCCUGCCUCCUGAUUCUUCGGCUUCUCCUUUCCUGCCUUGUUACUAUUGGAAACGGGAAGUGGUUUCUUAAGAAUAGAAACUGUAACCGAUGAAGACUUCAGAAAGAAUUUACCAUUAUUUCGACUCUUGAAGCUGACAUGAACACUGCCUUUCGGUGAAGAAUCCGUUGGGUUAGCAAGCUCGGUGGAUAGCUUUCUUCUCUUCUCUGGUGAAAACGUGGUUAAAUCUUCUUCAUCAUCAAUCCUUCGUAAAAUAUGCUCUCGUGCCCCCCUAAACACGGAUUCUAUAAGAGCUUCAUCCUCUUCUUCCAAUUUCCUUUCAUUCAUCUCGUUUUUCUGUUGCAAAGCUUCGAGCAUCGAAUCUCCACUCACCCUUUCAUGUCUCGAGUUCAUCGGUGGUGCUAGUGGUACACAGGGGUGUACCUAAGCGUGUACACCCCUCUCACAUGGAGUGUGGGAUCCACCCGAAUAAAAAACAUUUAUUCGAGUGGACCCCACACCCCAUGUGAGGGGGAUGUACACCCUUAGGUACAUUCUAUUAUGUACCACUAGCAUUUUUCCGAGUUCAUAGACUUGAUGUCAUCCAAAGCAACUAGGAUAUCCAGUUUCCUCUUGGAGUCCAAAUAUCUAUUCUCCAAUGAGUUCAUCACAUCUCCCAUAUCAUCCAUAAUCCUUUUCUUUUUCUCUUCAUCCUCUGCACGCCAAUGUUCGAAAUUUCUCGCGGCACCGCACUCAAGAGCAUAAUCCGAAUUCUGUGGAUCUGUCUUGAAUGUUAUUUCCGCUGAGCAUUUGCUGCAUUUAAUAUAGAACCUAAAAACUCGAAUUCCCAAAUAAGUCUCCCCGAUGGCUUUUUCGUUGCGCGAAUUAAACUUAGUACCCUUAUACAUGUAGUUCCCACAAGUUUUACAACGAAUGCUCAUGGGAAGCAUAUUGUGGAUAGGGAAUUGCUCUUUCUUUGGCUGCUGCGGCCGUGGAAUCUUUGCCGGAUCGAAGUCCGGUGGAUAAUACUUGUUUAGCACUUUUCUUUCUCCCAUUCUAGUAGAAAUACAGACAGAACAAUUUGUAAAUGCUAAUGGAUUCAGCACAAAUGGUAUUGAUGUUGAUCAGAUGGAUAAUACUUCUCAAAUCUUUUGUUCCGAACAAACUGAAACUCUCGAGAAAUUUUGAGAAGCGUUGGCAGAUGCAAAAACUUGGGGAGCAAGAAAAAUU
rnacentral:lncRNA from 1 species